UGUGUAGGCGGUUCUUUAAGUUUGGUGUGAAAUCUCCCGGCUUAACCGGGAGGGUGCGCCGAAUACUGAGGGACUAGAGUACGGGAGAGGAAAGUGGAAUUCCUGGUGUAGCGGUGAAAUGCGUAGAUAUCAGGAGGAACACCGGUGGUGUAGACGGCUUUCUGGACCGUAACUGACGCUGAGACACGAAAGCGUGGGUAGCAAACAGGAUUAGAUACCCUGGUAGUCCACGCCCUAAACGAUGCAUAUUUGGUGUGGGUCAUUCAGUUGAUCCGUGCCGGAGCUAACGCGUUAAAUAUGCCGCCUGGGGAGUACAGUCGCAAGGCUAGAA
rnacentral:rRNA from 1 species